rnacentral:lncRNA from 1 species
AGUCUGGCAUUGUAUCUGAUUGUGAACAUUUCUUUUCGAGGUCUGAAUCCUGUCCAGAUGUCUAUAUAAGCGGGGGACGAUACUGUCAUAAGCUAAAGGGAAAAAGUUUUAACACAUAGCACACGUGGAUAUUUAUUGUUUUCACCAUAAUAAGGUAGAUGAUGAUGACGUCAGUUAUGCUUGUUAUGGUUCUUCUUGCUCUUGCUUCGGCAGCGCCACCACAAACUGAUGAAGGGUCCAGUUGUCAUGCACCGGUAAAUAGCUUUGGAGAUGCGUGCUAUUCUAGUACGAAAGUACAACGAGCUCCAGGGGAAACGGUUAAGUACCAUAUAACUACGGAUGUAAGCACCGAGAUAUGCUGCAAGGUGUAUGCAUGCUGGACAUCAUCUUGCACAAUGCAGGAUAUUGGUUGUGGACAUCAGUCACUGGAGUCCAACUCUCUUCCAUGGGAAGGCGAACACAAACUUGAUACACCAAAAGUGGAAUGCAAAACAACUGGUGUCCAUGCUGUCUUUUACAGUUUUACGACAUCUCAUUAAAUUGUUAAAUACUUAUCUACAGAGACAUGUUAUAAAAUGUUACCUAAAAAUACGAAAAAAUAUAUUUAGACAUUUUAGAAAUUAGAUAACGCGGGAGACGAUAUCUAUUUAUAUGGUCGUAUGUAUAUGGGAUGUAAUUAUAUUUGGAAAAUGAAUUUCAAAAUGCACACAAAAAGCACAUCCUCUGUGUUAAGAGUCUGCAGAUUUGAUGUCAUCAUAAAGAAUUAAGAAAGAAAUUUAAAAAAAAUAGGUCGAGGAAAUUGGUGAAAUAGACAUUACUAUUGACGCCUUUUAUCUCGCAAGACAGCCGUUUUCAAUCUUCAAUUCGACGUUUUUUUUUGUGUAAUGGAAAGUUCACAAUUAGGGUGUAUUAGUAUCAAUAGAUAAUGAUAAAACGGACUUCAUAUCGUUCUGUACAUUAGGUUUAAUUAUUUCUGCUAUGUAGAAUUUGACUGAACAAUUCAUUUUGAUAAACUUAAAAAAAAUAGACACUAAAAAUUGGACAGCGUAGUUGACUUUUUUCAGGACUUAGUUUUUUUUUAAAAAGUGUAUCCAGAUAUUAUGAGUAUAACAUAAUUUUGAUGACAUUUCCGCAUAUAAGAAAAUUUCUAAUUCUGUAAAUUUUAAUAAAUUGUCAUACUGUUGUAGAUUUACCUACUAAUAUAAUUUAGUUAGAUAAAUUGUAUAUGUUCAUGUACCUAAUUUUGAGAUAUUUUGAUUAAAGAGAAGAACAAACUGGA